CAGAGGGUGCAAGCGUUGUUCGGAAUCACUGGGCGUAAAGCGCGCGCAGGCGGAUGGUUGCGUCCGGAGUGAAAUUUCGCCGCUCAACGGCGAAGCUGCUCUGGAUACGGACCGUCUAGGGACCGGUAGAGGCUGGUAGAAUUGCAGGUGUAGCGGUGGAAUGCGUAGAGAUCUGCAAGAAUACCCGUGGCGAAGGCGGCCAGCUGGGCCGGAUCCGACGCUGAGGCGCGAAAGCGUGGGGAGCAAACAGGAUUAGAUACCCUGGUAGUCCACGCCGUAAACGAUGGGCACUAGGUGCCGGGGGGAGCGACCCCCUCGGUGCCGCAGCUAACGCGAUAAGUGCCCCGCCUGGGGAGUACGGCCGCAAGGCUG
rnacentral:rRNA from 1 species